rnacentral:lncRNA from 1 species
UUUUGUGAAAAUCUUUACCUUGAGUUAAGUUGAGAAUUAUUGUGUGGUAUUGAUAAAGGUUCAAGUUUGGGGUUGUUGGGAAGUUUGAAAAAGAAAAGGUAAGCAUUGAGCUAAUGUGUUGAGCAAAACAUGAAAAGAUGAAAAAGAUAGAAAAAGUAGAAAAGCUCAAUGCAAAAAGGGAAAAGUUGGGAAUGAGUGACAUUGGUUGUUUAAAGAGAGCUUGUGCUUGAAUUACAAAAGUAUGAAUAACUCUCUUAAGUCAAGGAAUUUGUG